rnacentral:rRNA from 1 species
GAUGAACGCUGGCGGCGUGCCUAAUACAUGCAAGUCGAGCGAAUGGAUUAAGAGCUUGCUCUUAUGAAGUUAGCGGCGGACGGGUGAGUAACACGUGGGUAACCUGCCCAUAAGACUGGGAUAACUCCGGGAAACCGGGGCUAAUACCGGAUAACAUUUUGAACCGCAUGGUUCGAAAUUGAAAGGCGGCUUCGGCUGUCACUUAUGGAUGGACCCGCGUCGCAUUAGCUAGUUGGUGAGGUAACGGCUCACCAAGGCAACGAUGCGUAGCCGACCUGAUGGGGUGAUCGACCACACGGGGACUGAGUCACAGCCCAGACUCCUACGGGAGGCAGCAGUAAGUAAUCUUCCGCAUUGGACGAAAGUCUGACGGAUCAACGCCGCGUGAGUGAUGAAGGCUUUCGGGUCGUAAAACUCUGUUGUUAGGGAAGAACAAGUGCUGGUUGAAUAAGCUGACACCUUGACGGUACCUAACCAGAAAGCCACGGCUAACUACGUGCCAGCCGCCGCCGUAA